rnacentral:rRNA from 1 species
AGAGUUUGAUCAUGGCUCAGGAUGAACGCUAGCUACAGGCCUAACACAUGCAAGUCGAGGGGCAUCGGGAGGGAAGCUUGCUUCCCUUGCCGGCGACCGGCGCACGGGUGAGUAACGCGUAUCGAACCUGCCCCAUACCCGGGGAUAGCCUUGCGAAAGUAAGAUUAAUACCCGAUGGCUUCCUUUUAUCUCCUGAUAGAGGGAAUAAAGAAUUUCGGUAUGGGAUGGCGAUGCGUCCGAUUAGCUAGUUGGCGGGGUAACGGCCCACCAAGGCGACGAUCGGUAGGGGUUCUGAGAGGAAGGUCCCCCACAUUGGAACUGAGACACGGUCCAAACUCCUACGGGAGGCAGCAGUGAGGAAUAUUGGUCAAUGGGCGGAAGCCUGAACCAGCCAAGUAGCGUGCAGGAUGACGGCCCUACGGGUUGUAAACUGCUUUUAGGCGGGGGUAAAGGGGCGGACGCGUUCCGCCUUUGCAAGUACCGCCAGAAAAAGGACCGGCUAAUUCCGUGCCAGCAGCCGCGGUAAUACGGAAGGUCCAGGCGUUAUCCGGAUUUAUUGGGUUUAAAGGGAGCGUAGGCGGGCUAUUAAGUCAGCUGUGAAAUCCGGCGGCUCAACCGUCGGCCUGCAGUUGAUACUGGUGGUCUUGAGUGCGCGCAGGGGCGUUGGAAUUCAUGGUGUAGCGGUGAAAUGCUCAGAUAUCAUGAAGAACUCCGAUCGCGAAGGCAGAUGCCCGGAGCGCAACUGACGCUGAGGCUCGAAAGUGCGGGUAUCAAACAGGAUUAGAUACCCUGGUAGUCCGCACAGUAAACGAUGGAUACUCGCGGUUCGGCUUUUAGAGCGGAGCCGCCAAGCGAAAGCGUUAAGUAUCCCA